AAUAUCACAAAAUGUUUAGAAAAUAAACAAAACUCAUUAGCAAGUGAGAGACAAGAGUAAAAUUUUGAGCAUCUGUUUUUUCAUAUAUUUGCAAACAUUUUCCAAGUCAUCAGUAUAAAUAAAAAUAAAAAAUAAAAAAACGUAACAUUUCUGUUAAUGAUUCAUUUGGUUCCAAUUACCUUUUUGUUCAUUGUUUGCUCUGAGGCACCGUUGCCAAUAAAGGUUGGUGAAUUGAAGUACCGGUAGGCACUUUACACAUCCACUGAAGAAAAUAGUUCCAAAACAUAUUUGAAUAAGGAGGACAACGAAAUGUAUUUAUUUACAUUGAGAACUUUUGCUACAUCGGUUUUACAUUUGUUAAACCGAUGUAGCACUCUCAAAAAUUAAUCUUGUGUUUCUUGGAAAACGUAAAAUGACCCGCGGAUGGAUAUGCGGUUUCAAAAUCAAGCCUGUUCUCUUCAUCAGUCCGUUGGCGCGGAGUCUGCCUGUUGGCUGAUCUACGAAAGAAUCUGGGUUUUGUCGCCUCAUUCGAGAACUCACCAGUGAAUACCUGCGUGCUCGCUCCGCCGAUUCCACUGCCUCCACUCCACCCUUUGAGCUUCCAGCUCUCUUCCAUUCCCACCUCGCAUUUACCUUCGGAACCGCUGCACACCCUCUCUCAGGAACCUGGCAUCUCACACCCACGCCUCGAAAGACCCGCACCGAAGUAAGCCUGUUCCUGUUUCCCCUCCGAUCACUCAUUCUAAGCCCGUCAUAACUAAGUUCUCGUUUCAGGCCAACCUGGUCGAGUGGUCCUCACCCUUCCGCUGAUGUCCGGGAAAUAGAUUUUAUUUUGUCCUGUUGUAAAUAAAUCACUCACUCAUCCCUAUCCAACGUGUGGUUACUGCAUGUGGGUCCGUAAAUUGAAACCCAUCAUGUCAAUCAGUGGCCAAGCCUGAAACAAAUAUUGAAAGAUGAAGAAAUUCUUUUUGAUAUUUUUGCAAUAUUUAGCUAGCAGUUAUGUGAAAUGUACUUAUAUUUAAUUGUAGCUCUAAUUUUUUUAUAUGUGCAAUGUUUUAGGCUUUAUUAGUUACAUUUAUAGUGAUUUUCUAAACUUCUCUUAAGAGUAAUACUACUGUCUUAGUCCUGUCACGUUAACAAAGAAAUUAGGAUAAUUGCAAAACUGUUCAGUGUUUACAAUAUAAGGCUUCAGUAGUUAAUCCAUACAAAGGCUGUUUUGCCUUAAUUUUUUUAUUUUUUUGAAAAGUCUAAAUGUUAUAUUGCACUAAUAAAAUAUAUAUUUUUGCAGGCUUCAAGAGGAUCAGCGUGUGAAGAUCACUUUAUAAUGAUUUGAAAAAGGUUGCCAUGGCUACAGAAAUUGGAGGAGCAUCCUUAGAUGACACAAUACAACCAGCUGUGCGAUUCCUCAUGUCCCAUGAACUGGAAGUCCAGUUCAACCUUUUUGGCCAACAUGGGAAACAAGCUCUUGGACCUGCGUCUCUUUGAUGUUUUGUAUGGGGACUUAAAAGAAAUUAUCCAUCUACAGAAUCACACAAGCAUACAGCAAAGACUCUCGAAGUGGUUUACUGGAGCCCGAGUGGAAGUGGAAAUAGACUAGAGAGACUGCCAGUUCAAACUCAGGUUGGGGAGGUCUUUCAAGAUGGACAGUUUCAGUAAAGUAUGAGAGAUUUCAAAUUUAAGCAUGCAUAUGGCAUGUAGGUUAUUUUUAAAAAUGUUUAACAAAAAUGUAUUGUGAAAGAUCUAUAUAGGUGUGUAUAUUCACAUUGUGUGUAUCAAUGUGAAUAUACGUGUAUAAAGUUAUAUAGAUAGUAUUUAGAUGUAUACAUUUAUAGACCUGUAGGAAAAUAUGUAGGUGUCUUUAUUUGUGUGCA